GGAUUCUGUCUCAUUUAACAGAGUAACGCUGCAUUUGCCUCUAAUGUGUGUGGCUGGCAGGGAUUCCAGCUGUCGCGAGAGAAAUAACUCACGAUGUCGUAACUGAUGCUUCUGUUUCUCUGGCAAGUCGACCAUUUCUGGGUUUUCCAUCUCUUCUUCCAUUUCUCUUGCAUGUUUAUCUGCCAAUACAAUAAGUGUGCUUGAAAUGUCUCUUCUUCUGUAGAAACACACCACCUUUGCUUCCACAUUUCCAUUGGCGGUCUUAUUGAGUUCUUCUAUUCUUCGUAUCAAAUAUGGGUUACUUGAUGAAUUUUCAAAGUAGACGUAAUCUCCCACCCGGUACAUGUUGGCGGCCAUGCCCGGGACGGGGCCGGGUGCGGGGCGCGGGCCGCUCCCGCCGCCUCCUCCUUCUCCUCCUCCAGGAGAGGGCAGAGUGAUGCGAGUCGGAGUUGGCACGCAGUUCCUGGCUCCUGGUGUGCAGUCCCUGGGACGGACAGAGGUCCCUCCGAGCGUGGCUAGAAGUUAGAUUUGGAGUGUCCAAAUAUGCAGAUGGGAAAGUGCUUGACAUGAGAGGAC
rnacentral:lncRNA from 1 species